rnacentral:lncRNA from 1 species
GUGACUCUGUCUCAAAAGAAAAAGUGUAGGGUACUGAAGAAAUUGAAACAUUAAGAAUACCAUAUGAGUAAAUUAAACACUUUGGCUCUUUUCGGAAAAAAACAGAUGAGCUCUUAUAUUUUAAAGUUUGGUUUUGACAGAAAAAAAUUCCUAGAUUUUUUGGUUAAUAAAAACUUUAUUAGAUAGAUUAAAUUGUGAUGUAUGGAGAUAAAGUUCUGAAAGAAGAAUAGAAAGCUUUUUAAAAAUAGUAUUCUCAGCCUAGGCAACAUGGUGAAACCCUGUCUAUGCUGAGGUUGAGGUGGGAGGAUCACUUGAGCCCAUGAGGCAGAGGUUGCAGUGAGCCGAGAUUGUGCCUCUGUACUCCAGCCUGGGUG